UACGGAGGGUGCGAGCGUUAUCCGGAUUCACUGGGUUUAAAGGGUGCGUAGGUGGGCAGGUAAGUCAGUGGUGAAAUCUCCGGGCUUAACCCGGAAACUGCCAUUGAUACUAUCAGUCUUGAAUACCGUGGAGGUAAGCGGAAUAUGUCAUGUAGCGGUGAAAUGCUUAGAUAUGACAUAGAACACCAAUUGCGAAGGCAGCUUACUACCCGAAUAUUGACACUGAGGCACGAAAAGCGUGGGGGAUCAAACAGG
rnacentral:rRNA from 1 species